GCGGAUGCGGACGGGUUUUACAAGGCCGACGAUUAUGGAUAUUUCCACUGGAAUGAAAAACAUGGCCAUUGGGAGAGGUGGUCCCUAAACAACAAUGAGUACAAAUAUGAGUAUGCGUACAAGUAUGAGAACGGGAAGGACUGUUACAACCACCAGCAUCAACCUGGUCAAGGGGCCAACUGGGAAAUAGAGGCUGGUUCUUCUCAGAUUGUCGAUGCUCCUGCCCAUCACCCCUUCCCUACUUCCUCUGAUCUCCCUCAGCAGAUCCAACCAGAGCAGCCUGGAGUCCUCACAGCAUUCCCUGGUCCCCUGGCAAACAUUGGGACUCUUGAGGAGAUGAUUGAGGUUGCAUGGCAGAAGUGUCAGGAGUACCAAUCUAUGUUCUUCAUGUGGUACUGUGUUACCCUUUUGUGCACACAGAGUAGGGCACAGGUACGUUUCUUCUUUAGAUGAGAGAGCAUGAGUCAGGAUGGAUGAUGAGGGAGAGGAUGAUUAUUAUGGUUUGCAUUUUCAUAAGUAAGCAAACAGGUAUAUUUUAGGCCAUGCGUCAAUUACAUUGUAAUUGAUUUGUGUUGUUUUUUAACUAACCUUCUGUUCUAUACCACUAUAUAUAGCCCAUCUCUCCACCAGCGAAGCCCAUCGUGGUCGAGCUUCCCAUCUCUCCACCAGCGAAGCCCAUCGUGGUUGAGUCGCCGAUCCCUCCACCACUGAAGCCCGUUGUGGUUGAGCUGCCCAUCUCUCCACCAGUGAAACCUAUCGUGGUUGAGCAGCCCGUCUCUCCACCCGUGAAGCCCAUCGUGGUCGAGUUUCCCAUCUCUCCACCAGUGAAGCCCAUCGUGGUUGAGCCACCGAUCUCUCCUCCAUUGAAGCCAAUCUUGGUUGAGGAGCCCAUCUCUCGACCAGUGAAGCCCAUCGUGGUGGAGCUGUCCAACUCUCCACCAGUGAAACCCUUCGUGGUUGAGCUGCCCAUUUAUCCACCAGUGAAGCCCAUCAUGGUUGAGCUGCCCAUCUCUCCACCAGUGAAACCCAUCAUGGUUGAGCCGCCUACCUCUCCACCAGUGAAGCCUGUCGUGGUUGAACGGCCCUUCUCUCCACCAGUGGAGCCCAUCAUGGUUGAGCUGCCCAUCUCUCCACCAGUGAAGCCUGUUGUGGUUGAGCUGCCCAUCUCUCCACCAGUGAAGCCUGUUGUGGUUGAGUCGCCGAUCCCUCCACCACUGAAGCCCGUUGUGGUUGAGCUGCCCAUUUCUCCACCAGUGAAGCCCAUUGUGGUUGAGCUGCCCAUCUCUCCACCAGUGAAACCUAUCAUGGUUGAGCAGCCCGUCUCUCCACCCGUGAAGCCCAUCGUGGUCGAGCUUCCCAUCUCUCCACCAGUGAAGCCCAUCGUUGUUGAGCCAACGAUCUCUCCUCUAGUGAAGCCAAUCUUGGUUGAGGAGCCCAUCUCUCGACCAGUGAAGCCCAUCGUGGUGGAGCUGUCCAACUCUCCAGCAGUGAAACCCUUCGUGGUUGAGCUGCCCAUUUAUCCACCAUUGAAGCCCAUCAUGGUUGAGCUGCCCAUCUCUCCACCAGUGAAACCCAUCAUGGUUGAGCCGCCUACCUCUCCACCAGUGAAGCCUGUCGUGGUUGAACGGCCCUUCUCUCCACCAGUGGAGCCCAUCAUGGUUAAGCUGCCCAUCUCUCCACCAGUGAAGCCUGUUGUGGUUGAGCUGCCCAUCUCUCCACCAGUGAAACCCAUCAUGUUUGAGCUGCCGAUCGCUCCAGUGGAAGCUGAGUCUCUUCAGAGAUUUGAGCCAAUGAAGGGUCUGACACAGCGAUAUAAAAAAAGAAAGACAGACAUGGAAACUUCAGUUCCACAGGCCAGAACUACUCUUCCUCCUCCCUCCCUAUCGGAUUAUUUCACUCCACCUACAACUCAGAGAUGUCAAAGGGCCCAGGAUUUCUUCCCUCCACCUCCAGUGGAGUCCAUCGUGGUUGAGGAGCCCAUCUCUCGACCAGUGAAGCCAAUCGUGGUGGAGCUGCCCAUCUCUCCAGCAGUGAAACCCUUCGUGGUUGAGCUGCCCAUUUAUCCACCAUUGAAGCCCAUCAUGGUUGAGCUGCCCAUCUCUCCACCAGUGAAACCUAUCAUGGUUGAGCAGCCCGUCUCUCCACCCGUGAAGCCCAUCGUGGUCGAGCUUCCCAUCUCUCCACCAGUGAAGCCCAUCGUUGUUGAGCCAACGAUCUCUCCUCUAGUGAAGCCAAUCUUGGUUGAGGAGCCCAUCUCUCGACCAGUGAAGCCCAUCGUGGUGGAGCUGUCCAACUCUCCAGCAGUGAAACCCUUCGUGGUUGAGCUGCCCAUUUAUCCACCAUUGAAGCCCAUCAUGGUUGAGCUGCCCAUCUCUCCACCAGUGAAACCCAUCAUGGUUGAGCCGCCUACCUCUCCACCAGUGAAGCCUGUCGUGGUUGAACGGCCCAUCUCUCCACCAGUGGAGCCCAUCAUGGUUAAGCUGCCCAUCUCUCCACCAGUGAAACCCAUCAUGGUUGAGCUGCCCAUCUCUCCACCAGUGAAACACAUCAUGUUUGAACUGCCGAUCGCUCCAGUGGAAACUGAGUCGCUUCAGAGAUUUGAGGGUCUGACACAGCGACAUAAAAAAAUAAAGAAAGACGUGGAAACUUCAGUUCCACAGGCCAGAACUACUCUUCCUCCUCCCUCCCUAUCGGAUUAUUCCCCACCACCUACAACUCAGAGAUGUCAAAGGGCCCAGGAUUUCUUCCCUCCACCUCCAGUGGAUUCCAUCGUGGUUGAGGAGCCCCUCUCUCGACCAGUGAAGCCCAUUGUGGUUGAGCUGCCCAUCUCUCCACCACCUAAUCCCAUUGUGGUUGAACGGCCCAUCUCUCCACCAGUGAAGCCCAUCGUGGUCGACCAUCCCAUCUCUCCACUAGUGAAGCCCAUAAUGGUUGAGCUGCCAAUCUCUCCACCAGUGAAGCUCACAGUGGUUGAGCUGCCCAUCUCUCCACCAGUGAAGCCUGUUGUGGUUGAGCUGCCCAUCUCUCCACCAGUGAAGCACGUCAUGUUUGAGCUGCCGAUCGCUCCAGUGGAAGCUGAGUCGCUUCAGAGAUUUAAGCCAAUGAAGGGUCUGACACAGCGAUAUAAAAAAAGAAAGACAGACAUGGAAACUUCAGUUCCACAGGCCAGAACUACUCUUCCUCCUCCCUCCCUAUCGGAUUAUUUCACUCCACCUACAACUCAGAGAUGUCAAAGGGCCCAGGAUUUCUUCCCUCCACCUCCAGUGGAGUCCAUCGUGGUUGAGGAGCCCAUCUCUCGACCAGUGAAGCCAAUCGUGGUGGAGCUGCCCAUCUCUCCACCAGUGAAGCCCAUUGUGUUUGAGCUGCCCAUCUCCCCACCACCUAAUCCCAUUGUGAUUGAACGGCCCAUCUCUCCACCAGUGGAGCCCAUUGUGGUUGAGCUGCCCAUCUCUCCACCAGUGAAACCCAUCAUGGUUGAGCUGCCCAUCUCUCCACCAGUGGAGCCCAUCGUGAUGGAGCUGCCCAAAUCUACACCAGUGAAACCCAUCAAGGUUGAUCAGCCCAUCUCUCCACCAGUGAAACCCAUCAUGGUUGAGCUGCCCUUCUCUCCACCAGUGAAACCCAUCAUGGUUGAGCUGCCCAUCUCUCCACCAGUGAAACCCAUCAUGGUUGAGCUGCCCUUCUCUCCACCAGUGAAACCCAUCAUGGUUGAGCUGCCCAUCUCUCCACCAGUGAAACCCAUCAUGGUUGAGCUGCCCUUCUCUUCACCAGUGAAGCCCAUCGUGGUUGAGCUGCCUAUCUCUCCACCAGUGGAGCCCAUCGCUGUUGAGCUGCCCAUCUCUCCACCAGUGAAGCCUGUUGUGGUUGAGCUGCCCAUCUCUCCACCAGUGAAGCCUGUUGUGGUUGUGCUGCCCAUCUCUCCACCAGUGAAACCCAUCAUGGUUGAGCUGCCCAUUUCUCCACCAGUGAAGCACGUCAUGUUUGAAUUGUCGAUUGCUCCAGUGGAAACUGAGUCGCUUCAGAGUUUUGAGGGUCUGACACAGCGACAUAAAAAAAUAAAGAAAGACGUGGAAACUUCAGUUCCACAGACCAGAACUACCCUGCCUCCUCCCUCCCUAUUGGAUUAUUUCCCUCCACCUACAACUCAGAGAUGUCAAAGGGCCCAGGAUUUCUUCCCUCCACCUCCAGUGGAGCCCAUCGUGGUUGAGGAGCCCAUCUCUCGACCAGUGAAGCCAAUCGUGGUGGAGCUGCCCAUCUCUCCACCAGUGGAGCCCAUUGUGGUUGAGCUGCCCAUCUCCCCACCACCUAAUCCCAUUGUGAUUGAACGGCCCAUCUCUCCACCAGUGGAGCCCAUUGUGGUUGAGCUGCCCAUCUCUCCACCAGUGAAACCCAUCAUGGUUGAGCUGCCCUUCUCUCCACCAGUGAAGCCCAUCGUGGUUGAGCUGCCUAUCUCUCCACCAGUGGAGCCCAUCGCUGUUGAGCUGCCUAUCUCUCCACCAGUGAAGCCUGUUGUGGUUGAGCUGCCCAUCUCUCCACCAGUGAAACCCAUCAUGGUUGAGCUGCCCAUCUCUCCACCAGUGAAGCACGUCAUGUUUGAGUUGUCGAUUGCUCCAGUGGAAACUGAGUCGCUUCAGAGUUUUGAGGGUCAGACACAGCGACAUAAAAAAAGAAAGAAAGACAUGGAAACUUCAGUUCCACAGGCCAGAACUACUCUUCCUCCUCCCUCCCUAUCAGAUUAUUCCCCACCACCUACAACUCAGAGAUGUCAAAGGGCCCAGAAUUUCUUCCCUCCACCUCCAGUGGAGCCCAUCGGGGUUGAGGAGCACAUCUCUCCACCAGUUAAUCUCAUCGUGAUGGAGCUGCCCAACUCUCCACCAGUGAAGUCCAUUGUGGUUGAGCUGCCCAACUCUCCACCAGUGGAGCCCAUUGUGGUUGAGCUGCCCAUCUCUCCACCAGUGAAUCCCAUUUUUGUUGAGCUGCCCAUUUCUCCACUUGUGAAGCCCAUUGUGGUUGAGCUGCCCAUCUCUCCACCAGUGGAGCCCAUUGUGGUUGAGCUGCCCAUCUCUCCACCAGUGAAUCCCAUUUUUGUUGAGCUGCCCAUUUCUCCACCUGUGAAGCCCAUCAUGGUUGAGCUGCCCACCUCUCCACCAGUGAAACCCGUCGUGGUUGAACGGCCCAUCUCUCCACCAGUGAAGCCUAUCUUGGUCGACCAUCCCAUCUCUCCACCAGUGAACCAACAGGAUCAACCUGGUCAAGGGGCCAACUGGGAAAUAGAGGCUGGUUCUUCUCAGAUUGUCGAUGCUCCUGUCCAUCUCCUCUUCCCUGCUUCCUCUGAUCUCCCUCAGCAGAUCCCACAGGAGCAGCCUGGAGUCCUCACAGCAUUCCCUGGUCCUCUUGCAAACAUUGGGACUCUUGAGGAGAUGAUUGAGGUUGCAUGGCAGAAGUGUCAGGAGUACCAAUCUAAGUUCUUCAUGUGGUACUUGUUUACCCUUUUGUGCACACAGAGUAGGGCACAGGUACGUUUCUUCUUUAGAUGA
rnacentral:lncRNA from 8 species